GGAGACAGGGUGGCUCAGUGGUAGAGCAUCUUCUUGGCAUGCAGAAGGUCCCAGGUUCAAUCCCUGGCACCUCCA